rnacentral:rRNA from 1 species
UACGGGAGGCAGCAGUGAGGAAUAUUGGUCAAUGGGCGCGAGCCUGAACCAGCCAAGUAGCGUGCAGGAUGACGGCCCUAUGGGUUGUAAACUGCUUUUGUAUGGGGUAUAAAGUCAAUCACGUGUGAUUGUUUGCAGGUACCAUACGAAUAAGGACCGGCUAAUUCCGUGCCAGCAGCCGCGGUAAU